rnacentral:rRNA from 1 species
AGAACGAACGCUGGCGGCAUGCCUAAUACAUGCAAGUCGAACGAACUCUUCGGAGUUAGUGGCGCACGGGUGCGUAACGCGUGGGAAUCUGCCCCUUGGUUCGGAAUAACAGUUGGAAACGACUGCUAAUACCGGAUGAUGACGAAAGUCCAAAGAUUUAUCGCCAAGGGAUGAGCCCGCGUAGGAUUAGCUAGUUGGUGAGGUAAAGGCUCACCAAGGCAACGAUCCUUAGCUGGUCUGAGAGGAUGAUCAGCCACACUGGGACUGAGACACGGCCCAGACUCCUACGGGAGGCAGCAGUAGGGAAUAUUGGACAAUGGGCGAAAGCCUGAUCCAGCAAUGCCGCGUGAGUGAUGAAGGCCUUAGGUUGUAAAGCUCUUUUACCCGAGAUGAUAAUGACAGUAUCGGAGAAUAAGCCCGGCUAACUCCGUGCCAGCAGCCGC